rnacentral:rRNA from 1 species
GGAGGAUCCAAGCGUUAUCCGGAAUCAUUGGGUUUAAAGGGUCCGUAGGCGGUUUGGUAAGUCAGUGGUGAAAGCCCAUCGCUCAACGGUGGAACGGCCAUUGAUACUGCCAGACUUGAAUUAUUGGGAAGUAACUAGAAUAUGUAGUGUAGCGGUGAAAUGCUUAGAGAUUACAUGGAAUACCAAUUGCGAAGGCAGGUUACUACCAAUUGAUUGACGCUGAUGGACGAAAGCGUGGGGAGCGAACAGGAUUAGAUACCCUGGUAGUCCACGCCGUAAACGAUGGAUACUAGCUGUUGGGAGCAAUUUCAGUGGCUAAGCGAAAGUGAUAAGUAUCCCACCUGGGGAGUACGGGCGCAA